rnacentral:rRNA from 1 species
UGCAAGUCGAACGGUAACAGGGGAGCUUGCUCCCGCUGACGAGUGGCGAACGGGUGAGUAAUGCAUCGGAACGUGCCGAAUAGUGGGGGAUAACGCACCGAAAGGUGUGCUAAUACCGCAUACGCCCUGAGGGGGAAAGUGGGGGACCGCAAGGCCUCACGCUAAUCGAGCGGCCGAUGUCGGAUUAGCUAGUUGGUGGGGUAAAGGCUCACCAAGGCGACGAUCCGUAGCGGGUCUGAGAGGAUGAUCCGCCACACUGGGACUGAGACACGGCCCAGACUCCUACGGGAGGCAGCAGUGGGGAAUUUUGGACAAUGGGGGAAACCCUGAUCCAGCCAUGCCGCGUGUCUGAAGAAGGCCUUCGGGUUGUAAAGGACUUUUGUCCGGGAGGAAACCCUGAUCGUUAAUAGCGGUCGGGACUGACAGUACCGGAAGAAUAAGCACCGGCUAACUACGUGCCAGCAGCCGCGGUAAUACGUAGGGUGCAAGCGUUAAUCGGAAUUACUGGGCGUAAAGCGUGCGCAGGCGGUGAGAUAAGUCAGCUGUGAAAGCCCCGGGCUCAACCUGGGAACUGCGGCCGAAACUGUCUCGCUAGAGUACGUCAGAGGGGGGUG